rnacentral:rRNA from 1 species
CUGCAGCUCAAGUGGUGAUCAUUAUUAUUGGGCCUAAAACGUCCGUAGCCUGUUUAGUAAAUGCCUGGGUAAAUCGUGUAGCUUAACUAUACGAAUUCCGGUUAGACUGCUAAACUUGAGACCGGGAGAGGCUAGAGGUACUCCUGGGGUAGAGGUGAAAUUCUGUAAUCCUAGGGGGACCACCAGUGGCGAAGGCGUCUAGCUAGAACGGGUCUGACGGUGAGGGACGAAGCCCUGGGGCACAAUCCGGAUUAGAUACCCGAGUAGUCC